CCUGUUUUACAAAAACAUGUCUUUUUGAGUUAUUUUUAAAGUCUGACCUGCCCACUGAAAUUAUUUAAAUGGCCGCAGUAUUCUAACUGUGCAAAGGUAGCAUAAUCAUUAGUCUUUUAAUUGAAGGCUGGUAUGAACGGUUGGACGAGGUAUAAGCUGUUUCAUAUAAAUUUAUAAUAGAAUUUUAUAUUUUAGUCAAAAAGCUAAAAUUUUAUUAAAAGACGAGAAGACCCUAUAAAUCUUUAUACUUUGUGUUGUUUAAAUUUUUUAGAUUUAUUUUAUUUUUAUGACUUAAAGUAUUUUGUUGGGGUGAUAUUAAAAUUUGAUGAACUUUUAAUUGUUUAAGAUCAUUAAUUUAUGAUUUAUUGAUCCAUUAGUAGUGAUUAUAAGAUUAAGUUACUUUAGGGAUAACAGCGUAAUUUUUUUGGAGAGUUCUUAUCGAUAAAAAAGUUUGCGACCUCGAUGUUGGAUUAAGAUAUAUUUUUAGGUGUAGCUGCUUAAAU
rnacentral:rRNA from 1 species